rnacentral:lncRNA from 1 species
AAUUUACCUAACAAGUGGUAUGAGAGCUAAAGAUCCGAUCCACCCCGUGGCGACGUUCAUCGUCGCUUCCCUUCGGCCGUCGGGGCAUUCAUCGUCCCGUCGUCCGCCUGCGUCCUGUCUUUGUCAACUGCCGAUGUAUGUCUGCAUGCUCCAAUAGCAGCAAACCAGCAAUCAAAGGCAUAGCAGCAAAGAAGAGGCAGCAAUGCAGACGUGAUCUGCCGCACGGUUCCUAGAGCAGCAAGCUCGUUCCUGUUCAACUGGAAUUUUCGGUAGAAUUUUCCACGUGCAUAUCAGCCUUCGUACCAUGAAGCUCUUUCUUUGUUGAUCCUACCAUAUAUUUUUUGAUCUGUAAUUUUUUCUCGAAGUCUUUUACCAAAAUAGAGAUUGAGAAGUUUCAUGGCAAGAUCAGUUUCAACAUAUGGCAGGUUCUUAUGAGAGUUUUGUUGUACAAGCUGGUGUUUGGAAGGGAAAAACAAUUCACCGAGAAGAUUUUGGUUGUUCCCGUUUAUCGCUUUGAUCAAAUUUACCAGGAGAUUUCAAUACUUUGUUUCGCUGUUCUGUUGGGUUCCCCCAAUUUAUACCAACAAUUUCAGGAUUUGAUCCUACGGCGAGUUUUGAAGUAUUACUCAAUGCUCUUGUUUUGAUCGCGUGAUUUAAGAGAAACUGCUAUGAGCACAUGACCAAUUUUUUAUGAGGUUUAUCAGGAGAUUCAAGUACUUUGUUUUGGUUCGUAUCUUUGUUGGGUUCUACCAAUUUAUACCAACAGGUUUAGGGUUUUAUUCCCAUUGGAAGUUUAAAGUAUGGUUCACUGCUCCUGUUCAAAACAAGCGAGAUUCUCGUUGUCCUCAAGUUCGGUUAGUGCUUAUUAUAGUCCAAAAGACUAUUUGCCGCAAGGUGAUUUUAUCUAUAUGAGGUUUAUGGUGAUUUCAAUUUUUAUGCUACAAGGGAAUUCGUCUCAAGGUGGAGAUCGAUAGAGAUAUGAUCCGAAUUAUUAUCUGUAAUGUAUUUGGUUUAUUAUAUUACUAGUUUCCUACUAGGUUUCUUCUAGCCGUUUUCUACUUGGAGUAUGAGUAGGAUUAGUUUCCUAAUAGGUUUUUAUCAGUCUUUUCCUAUUAGGACUCCUUGAUUUCCCCUUAUAUAUAUCUUUUGUAAGCUGCACGGGAAGGGUGCGAUGGCCCGGUGUAUUCUUCUACUAUUGUAAUCAUCACCUCAUAGUGGUUAUUGCCGGUUGGCGUCCGUAGUUUUUUCCCGCAAGGGUUUUCAC